UGGGGAAUUUUGGACAAUGGGGGAAACCCUGAUCCAGCCAUCCCGCGUGUGCGAUGAAGGCCUUCGGGUUGUAAAGCACUUUUGGCAGGAAAGAAACGUCAUGGGUUAAUACCCCGUGAAACUGACGGUACCUGCAGAAUAAGCACCGGCUAACUACGUGCCAGCAGCCGCGGUAAUACGUAGGGUGCAAGCGUUAAUCGGAAUUACUGGGCGUAAAGCGUGCGCAGGCGGUUCGGAAAGAAAGAUGUGAAAUCCCAGAGCUCAACUUUGGAACUGCAUUUUUAACUACCGGGCUAGAGUGUGUCAGAGUGAGGUGGAAUUCCGCGUGUAGCAGUGAAAUGCGUAUAUAUGCGGAGGAACACCGAUGGCAAAGGCAGCCUCCUGGGAUAACACUGACGCUCAUGCACGAAAGCGUGGGGAGCAAACAGG
rnacentral:rRNA from 1 species